GUCUUGAUCCGAGAAACAAUUUCUCUCAAUUCAAAAUUGAUCAACUCAUGCGUUUGACUAUUUUAUAUCCCAAAGACUUUGGGCCAGGUGAUUAUUUAUUAUUUCCACAAUUACUUUGGGCCAGGUGAUUAUUUAUUAUUUCCACAAUUACUUUGUGAUUUUAUUAUUAAUGUGCAUUUUGUGCAUUGUUUCUUUAGGUGAUUGUCUAUGUCUUCCACAACAACUUCGUAAUUUCAUAGCAUUUGUUCGG
rnacentral:lncRNA from 1 species